UUCGCGGAACGAGGCGCACGCUACCUGUCAAUGCUGUAUACGAGACUCAACACAAAGACUUGGUCCCCAGCAGUAACAUAGUUGUAGAUGUGUUUAACAACUCGCACUUGUCCUUUUUGUGUGUGUGUGGCUUAGAGAAGAAUAUAAGAAUUAGUUUUCUGAACUUUCACCACAGAAAUGAUAGUCGAGACGCAUAAUGAGUUUCAAAAAAAUAUAUAAUUUUUUUAAUGGAGCAAACAUAUUCGGAUGCAGUCAUUACAAAAUGGUAGCAGAGGCCAACUGGAUUCUUGGUUAUACUGGAUCCUGUUCAUUUCCCACUUCGAAGUAAUUCUGUUCAUCCUAUGGUCUCUCUGAUGCGAAGUGACGAAUCCAGCGACGAUGAUGUGUGAACACCAACCACUGGACUUACAAGUUAUUUAGUACAAGUGCAGUCUGUACCAAUGUUUCAUCUCUGUAAAUGAUGUUGACCGGCUCUACUGCGAACACAACAAUGUUCUUAGCUGCUACUACCGUACCUGAAGUUUCCCAGCACGAUGUGGAAAGAUUUAGCAUUCUUUUGCCUAAACCUACAGUUUCCCUCGAUGCUCGGCCAGUUGUGAUUCCUAUUGUCUCCUGUAUUAUUAGCUUUCCACUGCUUGCCUUCGCAAUCAUCUGUGCUCU